rnacentral:lncRNA from 1 species
UGAACUGCCUCAAAUGAACCCACGAUAUUCACCGGUACCAUUCAACCCAAGUACAUCAUUCAACACCGGACCAAGACAACAAAGUCCAUCGAUAGCUACGACCUUCCCUACCUGCAGAUUCAUCUCCCACCUUCGUCUUCAACUCGUGUCACUUACCAACAAAACAUGAAUCACAAGCGUGUUUAGUCUUUGAAAAAGAAUUUAUUAACCCUUAAUUACAGACGUAGUUUGAAUCAAAAUGACCUAGGUAAUGCCAUAGGUAAUGAUGAAGUUUUUCACAAUUAAGAGCAGCUCCAGUAAUAAUAUGAUUCAUG